rnacentral:rRNA from 1 species
AUUGAACGCUGGCGGCAGGCCUAACACAUGCAAGUCGAACGAGUGGCGGACGGGUGAGUAAUGUCUGGGAAACUGCCCGAUGGAGGGGGAUAACUACUGGAAACGGUAGCUAAUACCGCAUACCAUCGGAUGUGCCCAGAUGGGAUUAGCUUGUAGGUGAGGUAACGGCUCACCUAGGCGACGAUCCCUAGCUGGGCUGAGAGGAUGACCAGGCAAACUGGAACUGAGACACGGUCGAGACUCCUAGGGGAGGCAGCAGUGGGGAAUAGGGUACAAGGGGCGCAAGAAUGAGGCAGCCAUGCGGCGUGUAUGAAGAAGGCCUUCGGGUUGUAAAGUACGUGAAGCGGGGAGGCGGGACCCGCAGAAGAAGCACCGGCUAACUCCGUGCCAGCAGCCGCGGUAAUAC